GCGAACGCUGGCGGCAGGCUUAACACCUGCAAGUCGAGCGCCCCGCAAGGGGAGCGGCAGACGGGAGAGUAACACGUGGGAACAUACCUUUUGGUUCGGAACAACUGAGGGAAACUUCAGCUAAUACCGGAUAAGCCCUUACGGGGAAAGAUUUAUCGCCGAAAGAUUGGCCCGCGUCUGAUUAGCUAGUUGGUGAGGUAACGGCUCACCAAGGCGACGAUCAGUAGCUGGUCUGAGAGGAUGAUCAGCCUCACUGGGACUGAGACACGGCCCAGACUCCUACGGGAAGCAGCAGUGGGGAAUAUUGGACAAUGGGGGCAACCCUGAUCCAGCCAUGCCGCGUGAGUGAUGAAGGCCUUAGGGUUGUAAAGCUCUUUUGCCCGGGAAGAUAAUGACGGUACCGGGAGAAUAAGCCCCGGCUAACUUCGUG
rnacentral:rRNA from 1 species